rnacentral:rRNA from 1 species
UACGAAGGGGGCUAGCGUUGCUCGGAAUCACUGGGCGUAAAGCGCACGUAGGCGGACUCUUAAGUCGGUGGUGGAAUCCUGGAGCUCAACUCCAGAACUGCCUUCGAUACUGAGAGUCUCGAGUCCGGGAGAGGUGAGUGGAACUGCGAGUGUAGAGGUGAAAUUCGUAGAUAUUCGCAAGAACACCAGUGGCGAAGGCGGCUCACUGGCCCGGUACUGACGCUGAGGUGCGAAAGCGUGGGGAGCAAACAGG